rnacentral:rRNA from 1 species
AGCAGCCGCGGUAAUUCCAGCUCCAAUAGCGUAUAUUAAAGUUGUUGCAGUUAAAAAGCUCGUAGUUGAAUUUCGGGAUUGGCGCAUCGGUCGUGCCUCACGGGGUAUGAACUGGUGCAGUCAAUUUCUCACCUUCUGGAGAACCGCGAUGUCCUUAAUUGGAUGCCGCGGGGAACCAGGACCUUUACUUUGAAAAAAUUGAGUGUUUAAAGCAGGCAUUUUUGCUUGGAUACAUUAGCAUGGAAUAAUAAAAUAGGACGGCAUGGUUCUAUUUUGUUGGUUUCUAGGACCACCGUAAUGAUUAAUAGGGAUAGUUGGGGGCAUUAGUAUUCAAUUGUCAGAGGUGAAAUUCUUGGAUUUAUUGAGGACUAACUACUGCGAAAGCAUUUGCCAAGGAUGUUUUCAUUAAUCAAGAACGAAAGUUAGGGAUCGAAGACGAUCAGAUACCGU